rnacentral:rRNA from 1 species
CCUACGGGUGGCAGCAGUGAGGAAUAUUGGUCAAUGGGCGCGAGCCUGAACCAGCCAAGUAGCGUGAAGGAUGACUGCCCUACGGGUUGUAAACUUCUUUUAUAAAGGAAUAAAGUGAGGCACGUGUGCCUUUUUGUAUGUACUUUAUGAAUAAGGAACGGCUUACUCCGUGGCAGCAGCCGCGGUAAUUCGGAGGAGUCGAGCGGUAUCCGGGUUUGUUGGGUUUAAAGGGAGCGUAGAUGGGUUGUUAAGUCCGUUGUGAAAGUUUGCGGCUCAACCGCAAAAUUGCAAUUGAUACUGGUAGUCUUGAGUACAGUUGAGGUAGGCGGAAUGCGUGGUGUAGCGGUGAAAUGCUUAGAUAUCACGCAGAACUCCGAUUGCGAAGGCAGCUUACUAAACUGCCACUGACAUUGAUGCACGAAAGUGUGGGUAUCAAACAGGAUUAGAUACCCGAGUAGUC